GCGCCUUUGGAGAGACGGAGAAGCCUGCUCUCCCGCCCAGGAAAUCCACGGGCUCCGGUUUACAAAGAGCCGCCCCGCAGUCCCGGCUCCAGCCCCGUGCGCUGCCGCAGGGAGGGCUCAUCCCUCUCAACCCUCAGCCUGGUGCCGGCCGCGAUGCCGACCCCGCCGGGCAGGGGACGGGGGGUCCCGCCGCGCCGCCCCACCGCGGACCCGCUGCCCCGCAGGGUGCGAGGACGCGCCGGUCCCCUGCCCCCCAUCCCUCCCCGCCGGGAACACACGCACGGCGGAGCAGGAAACGUCUUACAGAAAUCAGAGGAGAAACAAAGAGCUGAGGACAAGGAGACCUGGCAUCCCGCAACAAAGAGCUCUGCGAAUUCUUCAGGAGAUCUCCAUAGUGUGAUUAGCAUCUCUUUACAGCAACAUCAUCUCUCCUUCUUUUGUUUCCCCAGAGGAAGAUAAAAUUGUCGCCAAGCACCAGAGAAUGAAGCUUGAUGAAUACUGAAAAGUCAUUCACCUGCAAAGUAGGAUGGACUGGUCCCGGAUCGGGACUGAUGGGCAACUGCUUUUAAUUAAUGUUUCCAGAAGCUGGGGCAAGAAGAAGGAAUAUCGGGGGUUAGAGCUGUGAGGGGAGUGCAAGGAAACAGGGCUGGUGUUAAUGAGAAAGGACAGGUAGUACUGGCUGAGGUGUGAGCACACAGCCUUAUUCCCAGGCACACAGCCUUACUCCCCUCUGCUCCCAUGGACUCAAAGCAUUCUUAGGCUGCUGGGACACAGCCCUGCUCCAAAGCCACCCCUUUGGGCUUCCACACCAUGGGCUGCUCUGACCAUAAGUCCAGUUGAGGAGCCGUGGCUUCACCCUCUGCUUUGCUGUAGGCAAGGAGCUCCUUUGGCUGCUUCAGACUUCCUUCCACAUUUCUCCAUGAACCAGAAAACACCUUCUGAAUUAGAGAACAGAAUUACUAUUGCGAGUUUUCUUGAGUGUGUCCUCACUUUUUUUUUUUUUAUAAACCAGCAGCUCUCAAAAAUGUUUUAGAGCAGGUUGAUUUUAUGAAAUGAUGUUGCUGAACUGAAAUUUGCAGUAAGUUUGUGGGCAGUUUGAACCCUUCCCAGUGACUUUUCGUAUUGAUGUUUCCUAUAGUGACUCAUUGUCCUCCAUAUAAGCAUCUCUUACUGACUGAAGCAAAAAGGCGCAAUUAGAGAAGAGUUCCUCUAUGGGUCUCCUGAAAUUACAGUAGUUUAUAUUGCUGCCCAGCAACCUGGAGCUAAAUUGCAGUGCUUCAGCAGCUCUGGCAAUUGCUGUUUCUCCAUUCAUACGCCAGAAACUGAUGGAUCCAAACAAAGAGAGUUUCACUGACUGAAAGAGAGUAGGAGAUGCAUAGGCAAACCACGGAAUACCCUAGUAACAGAUUCCACCCCUCUCACCUUAAGCAGAGGGGCAACUGCUGAACCCCAGUUACAUCAUGCUCAGUCCUUUAGAGGUGCAUUUGGACAGGUUCCUCUCUGGCUCUAAGGGGACAGGCAGUUUAUUGGGGCUUGGGCAUAUUGCAUGUGUGAACAGAUACAGCUUUAGGACUAGUUUAGGAAGUCCAUCUGGAGCUCCUCCUGGUGCAACCAAAUAGACCCAGCAUCUCAAAGCUGUCUGUUGAUCUGUCAGCUUACCAGUCAAUACUGCUCCUGUAUGGUCUCUAGGAGUUCAGUUUCUUCUUCCAUAUGCGACUUGGGCCUAAAAACUCAUCACAUGUGUCUUCUGCUGAUUGUGACCUGGGAAUUCUUGGUGUCGUGAUGCUCCCCAGUGUGAGCUGUUUCGGGAAAAAUUUGGAAAAAUCAGAAAUAGCAAGCGAAGCACUGAAACUGCAGCUGUGUGAGUAGCAACCAAAUAAGCUAGGACUAAGAUUUGACAGACAGAUAACCAGAGUGUGAGAAAGGUCUGCAAGGUUGUGAGGUGGAGAAAAGGGAUGGAAAGAAGCCAGUUGUUUUCUGUUUCUUACAACAGAAUUAGGAGGCAUCAAAUGAAAACUGUAGGUGACAUUGCAAAGAGAGUAGAUCUUUUUAAACAACACAUAAUUUACCUGUGGAACUCACAGAAUCACAGGCUACUUGAGACUGUCAGGGACCUCUGAAGGUCAUCUUGUCUAACCCCUGUGCCCAAGCAGGACCACUGAGAGCACGAUGUCCCAGACUGUGUCCGAAUGUCUUUUGAAUAUCUCAAAGGAUUCAACCUGUUCACCACUUGAUCGCCCUCACAGUAACAAAGUGUUUCCUGAUGUUCAGGAGGAACCUCCUGUGUCCUCAUUUUUGUUCAUUGCCUCUGUUCCUGUCACUGGGCACCAUUGGAAAGAGCCUGGUUCCAGCCUCUUUCACCCUUCCUCCAGGUAUUUAUAUACUUCGAUGAGAUCUGCUCUCAGUGCUCUCCAGCUGAACUGUCCCAGUUCUCAGCCUUUUCUCAUAAGAAAUGCUCCAGUCCCUUCAUCAUCCUUAUGGUUCUUCAUUGGACUCUCUCCAGUGUGUCCACCUCUCCCAUAGUGGGAAGCCAAGAACUGGAUACAAUGCUGCAGCUGUGGCCUCUCCAGCGCUGAGCUGAGGGCAAGGAUCAGUUCCCUCAACCUGCUGGCAAUACUGUGCCUAGGGCAGCUCAGGAUCCCAUUAUCCUUUUUUGCUGCAAGGGCACUCUGCUGGCUCAUGGUCAAGUUGGUGCCUUUUCUGCUGAGCUGCUUUCCAGCUGGGUGGUCCCUAAUAUAUGUGGGGCAUUGGGCUGUUCAUCCACAAACUCCAUGGUACUGUGGAUUUGAAACGUUUCCACAGGUCCAAGAAUAAAUUAUAUGAAAGGUGUGUGUGGGUGGACUUACCAUGAUUGUUUACUACAAGGAUGACAGUAUUAGUUUGGGACAUCUGGGAGAGUUCUUCUCAUUACCUUCCUUAUACUUUGCUGUUGGCCAUGAUGUGAGCUGUGAGGGACAUCCCCACAUUCCUGUGCAGAAGUCAGCUUGUGCUCAGAACAGAUCUGGGAUACAUCUUAGUGGGAAACAGCAAAUAAAAACUUAGGCUGGGGCAGGAGAUCCACUUCUAGUUUGGGACAUGAACCAGAGGGCUAUCAAAACACUGGUGAGGAGGAAUGUGUUUUAGAAACUCAGCUCAAUUUUAUCCAUCAUCAAGUAACCCCUGGUGGGACACUUUUCGUGCCUAAGACUGGAGUAUCCCUCUUAAAUUUAGCAGUCACUGUCUCCAGGAUACCCCAUCUCUAUGUCCCCUUUGAGUCCACAGGUUGCUGACAUUUCCAUAUGUUCUCAUUUUUCAUCUUCCCUAUCUGGAAAGGACACCUCAGGCUGUCACAGCACUGAUAGGGAGGUGAGAGCUGGCUUUCAACUUUUUUUUCAACUCUUUUUGCUUUAAAACACCUUGAAAAAAUGUUCAAAUAAAUUUUCCAGCAGCAGUUUAUUUACUUUUGCUCACAAAGCCAUAUUUAUCUACAAAAAAAGAAGUCAAACCUCCCAAAUGCUUGAAACACAGGAACAUGGGGCUGGCAGGGACUUCCAGACUUGCCAAAUCUAAUCCCUGCUGUUGCAGCAACACAUCACGAUGUCCUUUCAGAACUGGAGUCUGCUCUCUCUUAAAAGCUAUUUGGAUUUCUGCCUCUGUGGUUCCUACUGGGUGGCUGCUCCAAACCCAAUUGCUCUAAUGGUUUGAAGCCCUUAACUAAUUUCCAGCCUGGUUUAUUCAUGGCCAGUUUAUAUACAUUUGUUCUCAUGCCAGCACUGUCCUUUGGCUGAAAUAGCUCUCCUAUCUCUGUAGUGCUUAUUCCCCAGACGUAUUUAAAGAAAACUAUCCCCAGCCUUCAUUAAUACACUGCAAUUACUUGUUUUGCCUGCUCUUCUGCAGAGGGUAUGGUCUCCUGACCUGUCCCUUCACGCCCUUGCAAGCUCACCUUCAGCUUCCUCCCAGCCUGGGUGAAGAGUGGCAUGGAAUCUACAAAGGAUUGUGUUUUCACUGGGAAAUGGGACUUGGAUGUGUGCCAUAAGAGAAAUGCCAUCCCAUACCCGUGCCUUUCCCCCUCCUGGUGUGCUCCUGGAAGGAGCAAGAGAGUCUCGCUGAAGAACUAUGAAAAGAAGAGCUCACUAAAAAGACUACUGAAAUAAUAGAAAACUUCCCACAGUUUACGCAGCAUUAAACAUGGCCUUUGUUGAUGGAUCCUGAAGAAUCUGGCCCUUUAUUUUUUCUUUUUCUUAAUUUGGAGAAGGAAAAUGGAAAGGAAGAUGUUUCAUGCCUGGUUUCUUGUCCAUUUAUUUUAUUUUUUUCUCCAGAGGUCUUCCCAUGGAUCACCAAUAAACAUUCAAGAAAACACAUAAGUGAAAUUAAA